rnacentral:tRNA from 1 species
GGGAAGGCGGCUCAGUGGUAGAGUGCUUGCCUUGCAUGCAUGAGGCCCUGGGUUC